CAGUAGCCGCGGUAAAACGUAGGUGGCAAGCGUUGUCCGGAAUUAUUGGGCGUAAAGGGCUCGCAGGCGGUUUCUUAAGUCUGAUGUGAAAGCCCCCAGCUCAACCGGGGAGGGUCAUUGGAAACUGGGAAACUUGAGUGCAGAAGAGGAGAGUGGAAUUCCACGUGUAGCGGUGAAAUGGGUAGAGAUGUGGAGGAACACCAGUGGCGAAGGCGACUCUCUGGUCUGUAACUGACGCUGAGGAGCGAAAGCGUGGGGAGCGAACAGGAUUAGAUACCCCCGUAGUCCCUGUCUCUUAUAC
rnacentral:rRNA from 1 species